UCGGCAUACUGCUCAGUAACACGUGGAUAACCUGCCCUGUGCUCCGGGAUAACCUCGGGAAACUGAGAAUAAUACCGGAUAGUCCACCACGCCUGGAACGGUGGGUGGAUCAAAGGUCACGGCACAGGAUGGGUCUGCGGCGUAUCAGGUUGUAGGGGGUGUAAAGGACCCCCUAGCCAUUGACGCGUACGGGUUGUGGGAGCAAUCGCCCGGAGAUGGAUUCUGAGACACGAAUCCAGACCCUACGGGGUGCAGCAGGCGCGAAAACUUCACACUGCAGGAAACUGUGAUGAGGGAACUCCAAGUGCAUGCACAAUGUGUAUGCUUUUCCUAACUUUUAAUCGGUUAGGGAAUAAGGGCUGGGAAAGACCGGUGCCAGCCGCCGCGGUAAUACCGGCAGCUCAAGUGGUCGUCGCUUUUAUUGGGCCCUAAACGUCCGUAGCCUGUAUGGUAAAUCUGUGGGUAAUCAACAGCUUAACUGGUUGAAUUCUGCAGAGACUGCCAGACUAGGGACCGCGAGACGUGUGG
rnacentral:rRNA from 1 species